AUUGAACGCUGGCGGCAUGCCUUACACAUGCAAGUCGAACGGCAGCACGGGGGCAACCCUGGUGGCGAGUGGCGAACGGGUGAGUAAUGCAUCGGACCGUGUCCUCUUGUGGGGAUAACCAGUCGAAAGAUUGGCUAAUACCGCAUGAGAUCGAGAGAUGAAAGCGGGGGACCCGAGGGUAACUUCGGGCCUCGCGCGAGAGGAGCGGCCGAUGCCGGAUUAGCUAGUUGGUGGGGUAAGAGCCUACCAAGGCGACGAUCCGUAGCUGGUCUGAGAGGACGACCAGCCACACUGGAACUGAGACACGGCCCAGACUCCUACGGGAGGCAGCAGUGGGGAAUAUUGGACAAUGGGCGCAAGCCUGAUCCAGCGAUGCCGCGUGUGUGAAGAAGGCCUGCGGUUGUAAAGCACUUUCAGUAGGGAAGAAAAGCCGAGUGCUAAUAUCAUUCGGUC
rnacentral:rRNA from 1 species